rnacentral:rRNA from 1 species
AACGAACGCUGGCGGCAGGCCUAACACAUGCAAGUCGAACGAACCUUCGGGUGAGUGGCGCACGGGUGCGUAACGCGUGGGAAUAUACCCUUGACUACGGAACAACGUCUGGAAACGGACGCUAAUACCGUAUAAUGACUCCGGUCCAAAGAUUUAUCGGUCAAGGAUUAGCCCGCGUUUGAUUAGAUUGUUGGUGAGGUAACGGCUCACCAAGUCGAUGAUCAAUAGCUGGUCUGAGAGGAUGAUCAGCCACACUGGAACUGAGACACGGUCCAGACUCCUACGGGAGGCAGCAGUGAGGAAUAUUGGACAAUGGGGGAAACCCUGAUCCAGCCAUGCCGCGUGAGUGAAGAAGGCCUUAGGGUUGUAAAGCUCUUUCAAUAGUGAAGAUAAUGACGGUAACUAUAGAAGAAGCCCCGGCUAAAUUCG